CUCCUUAUCCACGGCACCGCACGGUCUCUUGGCCGGUUGUGGGGGUGAGCUGGCAUGGCACCGCUAACCCUGGCAGCGGCGCCAGCUACGCCUGCUUCUCCGCCAAAGCUCCUCGCUGCAAAAUCAUGCCGCACGACACCGCCCAAACCACCAGAAACCACGCAUGUCCGUCCCCCACCCUGCGGAUGAUGUUGCUUCUUUGUCGUGCCCUGGACAGCCCAAAGCGCGCUCUAUACAGCUGUCGCGCCCGUGAGGUGCCAUUCCAUCGAGCAAUGGCCUCAGUGCGUAAUUGCUCAGGGUCAGUGCUGAAAUGGAACCCCUGAAGGCCGCAGCAGCUAGCCCAAUCACCGUAAGCACCUGCAGAACCCCCUCACUCGCUGUAAUUGGCACCGGAUUCGAUUCCUUUGUGGCACCCCUCUCGCCCGCCUAUAAAUAGAGGCCUCGGGUCCUUCUCAAUCCAUCACCUCCACCCUACUUUAGCAGAGCCUCACCAAAACCACUCCGAGGGACUCGGGAGGGUCAUCUUCCCCGCCUCUGGACACCCCGAUCAGCUUCAGGCUCCGGCUAAAUUCGCUCACGCUUCUCUGACGAGAUCAAACUACACCUGAAAGCGCGGGCCGCCGGAGUUGGAGCUGCCAUCGACAUGGUGCUCACCGACGACUUCCUCCACCUCCCACAGCUGCGGAAUCAUCCAAGGAGUGCGCAUGUCCCCUUUCCCCCUCUAGUUCAUAGCAGAAUGCUGCCAGCGACACUGCGAGCCCCCUUUCACCGGCAAGGCAUUUCAGACCUGACAGUGGUGGCCCACUGUCAGGGUUCCAUUUAUUUUCGAACCGUUUUCCAAAAAGCGUGUUUCAGCGGAGUGUGUUUUUUCCUCUGGCUUGCGCACUUUCAUCAGUGCAUUUUCUUCUUUUUCAGUCAGCCCCUAGGUUACUUUCUGUUUAUUACAGUUUGAUCCCUAAACUCCUUUCUCUCAUAACUUUUAAACUACAUGGGACUUUGAGUUGACUCUUUUUGCAAAAAAAAAUCUUUUGCUUUACAGUGUUUCUUGAUAUUUAUUCAAAAAUAUUUUGAGACAUUAUUUUGGACAUUUGGAAUUUACGUUAGAAUCCGAUGUGUGUGAUUUAGAUACCGAAGGGGGAGAUGUUGCAGUCAACUUCACCGAGCUAGACCCCGACUACGUCGACCCACGCAAGCAUGUUUAAUCAUUUGAUGUGAUGGUUGUUGAUAUGGUUGUUUCAUAAACUGCUGCACAAUAAUACUUGCAUGUCAUAUGGUAUGAUUUCAUGCAUGACAAAGAUGACAACCUAUGUGAUAAUGAGAGGUCGUGUGCAGCCUGGUCACGUGGGACGUGAUAGGUUUCGGCGUGAUUAUGCCAGAUGCAUUACACCGUGUGGAUGAAGUUAACAACUCUAGUGUCGGCAUAGAUCGUGUCUUGUGUGUGCGUCACCUUACUUUUUGUACUACCGCAUGACUUUUUGGAAGGAAAUACAGUGUAGUAGGUCCUAAACCUAUUAUCAAGUACACACCAAGUAGAGCGGCCGGGAUGAAGGUUCCAUGGCGCUGGAAUAAUGCGAGUCAUCUGAUGAGGGGACAUGUGUGUUUCUCGUCUAGGACCCUUGUAGCGUGCGGUAGAAAUUUGAUCCCAUGCUAAUCGAGGACGUUGGCCUCCCUGUCUUAUAGUUUCCCCUAGAAGGGUGGUCUGGGUGAUUCCAGACGUCACUGGGUAAAGAUGGGUGUGUGUUUUGAGUGUUUACUUCUAAAAUGUCGUAUGCAAGAUUAUACCUAGUGACUGUUGAAACCCUUGGCUAUGGGUAAAGAGUACACCCUCUCCAGAGUCAAAACUAUUCGAGUAGCCGUGUCCACAGUGAAGGAUGACUGGUUCACAAGUCAAGUGUGGGUCUUCAUGUCGGUCUCUCAAGAACAAGUUUCUGUUUGUGGAAGUGCUUAUUAUUGACAUAUGACUGUGACGUUGGAACUAACUUGAUGAAACUUGGUUGUAUUGAAUAUCCCAAAGGUUGGUUGUACCACCCGGAUAUUCACUUACUUUUAUGCCCUUUCCGAGGUGUCGCUAAGACGCCUGACUGAGGCGAGUAUUUACUUUAUCAUGCCCUUUACAUGGUGUCGCUAAGACGCCCGACUGAGGGAGUAUUUACUUUAACAUGCCCUUUCCAUGGUGUCGCUGAGACGCCCAACUGAGGCGCGAUUUACUUGAUUAUGCCCUUUCCAUGGUGUUGCAUAGACGCUCGACUCCGGCUUGUGAAUUUAUUAUUAAGCCAUGUAUGCGAUGUCGCUCACAAGCCCGAUGGUGGCUGUUUAUUUUUACUUUUUAACCUUUCGAGGCAUCGCUUCAGACACCCGAUUAGUGCCUUUUCAUUGUCUUGGAUAUUUUGGGAGGAUUACCGCCCAACUUAUCUACUCUAACUUCACUUCUGUUAAAUUUUCUAGCAUGAAUAAUUGUGAUAAUUAACCCUGCAUAUGAAACUUUUGCAUUCAACUUAUCUUUUGUGCAAACUAUCUUGCGACUACUUUGAAAGUACUCACUAGCUUGUUGAUGUGGCCAGAUAUCGAUGAAGGAGACCUCAUGGAUGAAGAGUAUGAUAGCGAAUAUGAUGCCUAGAGGAGUCCCGGACAGUCCUGCAACUUGGAGUUUUCAUUCUAUCAUCUCACCGCUUCCGCCACCAUGAAUAAAUCAUCAAGCCUCACUCUAACGCUUGUCAUGUAGUAGUACUUUAGUUGUGUCACUUCACUUUGAUGUGACAUGCCUACCUAUUUAUGCGACCAGUAGUGCUACCCCAUGACCACUAUGAUAUAUCUGCCCUUGUGCUAGAUAUGGGUGUAUUUUGUCCACUCUGCCCUGUUUAAUAUUAAGUACUACUGGUUUUCUAUA